rnacentral:rRNA from 1 species
UACAGAGGGUGCGAGCGUUAAUCGGAAUUACUGGGCGUAAAGCGUGCGUAGACGGUUAUGUAAGUCAGAUGUGAAAGCCCCGGGCUCAACCUGGGAAUUGCAUUUGAGACUGCAUAGCUAGGGUGCGGAAGAGGGAAGCGGAAUUUCUGGUGUAGCGGUGAAAUGCGUAGAUAUCGGAAGGAACACCAGUGGCGAAAGCGGCUUCCUGGUCCAGCACCGACGUUCAGGCACGAAAGCGUGGGGAGCAAACAGG